rnacentral:rRNA from 1 species
CAAUAGCGUAUAUUUAAGUUGUUGCAGUUAAAAAGCUCGUAGUUGGAUUUCGGGUGGGACGCAGCGGUCUCGCAUUGCGUUUGUACUGCUGCAGCCCUCCUUCUUGCCGGGGGCGGCCUCUCGGACUUCACUGUCUGGGGGUCAGAAUCGGCGAUGUUACUUUGAGUAAAUUAGAGUGUUCAAAGCAAGCUUACGCUCUGAAUAUAAUAGCAUGGGAUAACACGACAGGACUCUGGCCUAUCGUGUUGGACUAUAGGACCAGAGUAAUGAUUAAGAGGGACAGUCGGGGGCAUUCGUAUUCCGUUGUCAGAGGUGAAAUUCUUGGAUUUACGGAAGACGAACAUCUGCGAAAGCAUUUGCCAAGGAUGUUUUCAUUGA